rnacentral:rRNA from 1 species
AUGCAAGUCGAACGAGAAAGUGGAGCAAUCCAUGAGUAAAGUGGCGACCGGGUGAGUAACACGUGACUAACCUGCCUUCGAGUGGGGGAUAACCUCGGGAAACCGGGGCUAAUACCGCAUAAUGCCUUCGGGUUAAAGAAGCAAUUCGCUUGAAGAGGGGGUCGCGGCUGAUUAGCUAGUUGGUGAGGUAACGGCUCACCAAGGCGAUGAUCGGUAGCCGGCCUGAGAGGGCGCACGGCCACACUGGAACUGAAACACGGUCCAGACUCCUACGGGAGGCAGCAGUGGGGAAUUUUGCGCAAUGGGGGAAACCCUGACGCAGCAACGCCGCGUGGAGGAUGAAGUCCCUUGGGACGUAAACUCCUUUCGACCGGGACGAUGAUAACGGUACCGGUGGAAGAAGCCCCGGCUAACUUCGUGCCAGCAGCCGCGGUAAUACGAGGGGGGCAAGCGUUGUUCGGAAUUAUUGGGCGUAAAGGGCGCGUAGGCGGUGCGGUAAGU